GGAAAGGCGCGCGAUACAGGGUGACAGCCCCGUACACAAAAAUGCACAUGCUGUGAGCUCGAUGAGUAGGGCGGGACACGUGGUAUCCUGUCUGAAUAUGGGGGGACCAUCCUCCAAGGCUAAAUACUCCUGACUGACCGAUAGUGAACCAGUACCGUGAGGGAAAGGCGAAAAGAACCCCGGCGAGGGGAGUGAAAAAGAACCUGAAACCGUGUACGUACAAGCAGUGGGAGCACAGAGCAAUCUGUGUGACUGCGUACCUUUUGUAUAAUGGGUCAGCGACUUAUAUUCUGUAGCAAGGUUAACCGAAUAGGGGAGCCGAAGGGAAACCGAGUCUUAACUGGGCGUUAAGUUGCAGGGUAUAGACCCGAAACCCGGUGAUCUAGCCAUGGGCAGGUUGAAGGUUGGGUAACACUAACUGGAGGACCGAACCGACUAAUGUUGAAAAAUUAGCGGAUGACUUGUGGCUGGGGGUGAAAGGCCAAUCAAACCGGGAGAUAGCUGGUUCUCCCCGAAAGCUAUUUAGGUAGCGCCUCGUGAAUUCAUCUCCGGGGGUAGAGCACUGUUUCGGCAAGGGGGUCAUCCCGACUUACCAACCCGAUGCAAACUGCGAAUACCGGAGAAUGUUAUCACGGGAGACACACGGCGGGUGCUAACGUCCGUCGUGAAGAGGGAAACAACCCAGACCGCCAGCUAAGGUCCCAAAGUCAUGGUUAAGUGGGAAACGAUGUGGGAAGGCCCAGACAGCCAGGAUGUUGGCUUAGAAGCAGCCAUCAUUUAAAGAAAGCGUAAUAGCUCACUGGUCGAGUCGGCCUGCGCGGAAGAUGUAACGGGGCUAAACCAUGCACCGAAGCUGCGGCAGCGACGCUGAUGCGUUGUUGGGUAGGGGAGCGUUCUGUAAGCCUGUGAAGGUGUGCUGUGAGGCAUGCUGGAGGUAUCAGAAGUGCGAAUGCUGACAUAAGUAACGAUAAAGCGGGUGAAAAGCCCGCUCGCCGGAAGACCAAGGGUUCCUGUCCAACGUUAAUCGGGGCAGGGUGAGUCGACCCCUAAGGCGAGGCCGAAAGGCGUAGUCGAUGGGAAACAGGUUAAUAUUCCUGUACUUGGUGUUACUGCGAAGGGGGGACGGAGAAGGCUAUGUUGGCCGGGCGACGGUUGUCCCGGUUUAAGCGUGUAGGCUGGUUUUCCAGGCAAAUCCGGAAAACUAAGGCUGAGGCGUGAUGACGAGGCACUACGGUGCUGAAGCAACAAAUGCCCUGCUUCCAGGAAAAGCCUCUAAGCAUCAGGUAACAUCAAAUCGUACCCCAAACCGACACAGGUGGUCAGGUAGAGAAUACCAAGGCGCUUGAGAGAACUCGGGUGAAGGAACUAGGCAAAAUGGUGCCGUAACUUCGGGAGAAGGCACGCUGAUAUGUAGGUGAAGUCCCUCGCGGAUGGAGCUGAAAUCAGUCGAAGAUACCAGCUGGCUGCAACUGUUUAUUAAAAACACAGCACUGUGCAAACACGAAAGUGGACGUAUACGGUGUGACGCCUGCCCGGUGCCGGAAGGUUAAUUGAUGGGGUCAGCGCAAGCGAAGCUCUUGAUCGAAGCCCCGGUAAACGGCGGCCGUAACUAUAACGGUCCUAAGGUAGCGAAAUUCCUUGUCGGGUAAGUUCCGACCUGCACGAAUGGCGUAAUGAUGGCCAGGCUGUCUCCACCCGAGACUCAGUGAAAUUGAACUCGCUGUGAAGAUGCAGUGUACCCGCGGCAAGACGGAAAGACCCCGUGAACCUUUACUAUAGCUUGACACUGAACAUUGAGCCUUGAUGUGUAGGAUAGGUGGGAGGCUUUGAAGUGUGGACGCCAGUCUGCAUGGAGCCGACCUUGAAAUACCACCCUUUAAUGUUUGAUGUUCUAACGUUGACCCGUAAUCCGGGUUGCGGACAGUGUCUGGUGGGUAGUUUGACUGGGGCGGUCUCCUCCUAAAGAGUAACGGAGGAGCACGAAGGUUGGCUAAUCCUGGUCGGACAUCAGGAGGUUAGUGCAAUGGCAUAAGCCAGCUUGACUGCGAGCGUGACGGCGCGAGCAGGUGCGAAAGCAGGUCAUAGUGAUCCGGUGGUUCUGAAUGGAAGGGCCAUCGCUCAACGGAUAAAAGGUACUCCGGGGAUAACAGGCUGAUACCGCCCAAGAGUUCAUAUCGACGGCGGUGUUUGGCACCUCGAUGUCGGCUCAUCACAUCCUGGGGCUGAAGUAGGUCCCAAGGGUAUGGCUGUUCGCCAUUUAAAGUGGUACGCGAGCUGGGUUUAGAACGUCGUGAGACAGUUCGGUCCCUAUCUGCCGUGGGCGCUGGAGAACUGAGGGGGGCUGCUCCUAGUACGAGAGGACCGGAGUGGACGCAUCACUGGUGUUCGGGUUGUCAUGCCAAUGGCACUGCCCGGUAGCUAAAUGCGGAAGAGAUAAGUGCUGAAAGCAUCUAAGCACGAAACUUGCCCCGAGAUGAGUUCUCCCUGACUCCUUGAGAGUCCUGAAGGAACGUUGAAGACGACGACGUUGAUAGGCCGGGUGUGUAAGCGCAGCGAUGCGUUGAGCUAACCGGUACUAAUGAACCGUGAGGCUUAACCUU
rnacentral:rRNA from 1 species